rnacentral:rRNA from 1 species
UACGGAGGGUGCAAGCGUUAUCCGGAUUCACUGGGUUUAAAGGGUGCGUAGGAGGGCAGGUAAGUCCGUGGUGAAAUCUCUGAGCUUAACUCAGAAACUGCCAUGGAUACUAUUUGUCUUGAAUAUUGUGGAGGUAAGCGGAAUAUGUCAUGUAGCGGUGAAAUGCUUAGAUAUGACAUAGAACACCCAUUGCGAAGGCAGCUUACUACACAAUUUAUUGACGCUGAGGCACGAAAGCGUGGGGAUCAAACAGG